rnacentral:rRNA from 1 species
GAUCCUGGCUCAGGAUGAACGCUGGCGGCGUGCUUAACACAUGCAAGUCGAGCGAAGCAAUUUAAGUGAAGUUUUCGGAUGGAUCUUAGAUUGACUGAGCGGCGGACGGGUGAAGUAACGCGUGGAUAACCUGCCUCACACAGGGGGAUAACAGUUAGAAAUGACUGCUAAUACCGCAUAAGCGCACGGUACCGCAUGGUGCAGUGUGAAAAACUCCGGUGGU